CAACGGUUCUUCCCGCAAGGGAAGGAUAGUGCGCGAACGGGUGAGUAACGCGUAAGUAACCUGCCCCUAAGUGGGGAAUAACUCUGAGAAAUCGGAGCUAAUACCGCAUGUGAUCCGUCCUUGAUGAGGAAGGAUUAAAGCCUUCGGGCACUUGGGGAGGGGCUUGCGUCCGAUUAGCUAGUUGGUAGGGUAACGGUCUACCAAGGCGAUGAUCGGUAGCUGGUUUGAGAGGACGGCCAGCCACACUGGGACUGAGACACGGCCCAGACUCCUACGGGAGGCAGCAGCAAGGAAUAUUGUGCAAUGGGCGAAAGCCUGACACAGCGACGCCGCGUGGGGGAUGAAGGCCUUCGGGUUGUAAACCCCUUUUCUCAGGGAAGAAUAAUGACGGUACCUGAGGAAUAAGUCUCGGCUAACUACGUGCCAGCAGCCGCGGUAAUACGUAGGAGGCGAGCGUUAUCCGGAUUUACUGGGCGUAAAGAGCGCGUAGGUGGCUUAUCAAGUCGGAUGUAAAAUCUCCCGGCUCAACUGGGAGGGACCAUUCGAUACUGUUAGGCUAGAGGGCAGCAGAGGAAAGUGGAAUUCCCGGUGUAGUGGUGAAAUGCGUAGAUAUCGGGAGGAACACCAGUGGCGAAGGCGACUUUCUGGGCUGUUCCUGACACUGAGGCGCGAAAGCGUGGGGAGCGAACAGGAUUAGAUACCCUGGUAGUCCACGCCGUCAACGAUGGGACACUAGGUAUGGGGAGUAUCGACCCUCUCCGUGCCGAAGCUAACGCGUUAAGUGUCCCGCCUGGGGACUACGGCCGCAAGGUUAAAACUCAAUGGAAUUGACGGG
rnacentral:rRNA from 1 species